UACGUAGGGGGCUAGCGUUGUCCGGAAUCAUUGGGCGUAAAGAGCGUGUAGGCGGCCCGAUAAGUCCGCCGUGAAAGUCCAGGGCUCAACCCUGGAAUGCCGGUGGAAACUGUCGGGCUGGAGUCCGGAAGAGGCGAGUGGAAUUCCUGGUGUAGCGGUGAAAUGCGCAGAUAUCAGGAGGAACACCAAUGGCGAAGGCAGCUCGCUGGGACGGUACUGACGCUGAGACGCGAAAGCGUGGGGAGCAAACAGG
rnacentral:rRNA from 1 species